GGUCGGCUGGCCUAAUGGUAAGGCGUCCGUUUCCGGUCUUGGCACGAACCACAGACUGCGGAAGAUUGCAGGUUCGAGUCCUGCGUCGAUCG